GUGCUUGAAAUUGUCGGG
rnacentral:snRNA from 1 species